GACGAACGCUGGCGGCGUGCUUAACACAUGCAAGUCGAACGGGCCCGCCCCUGUUUUUGGGGGUGGGUUGAGUGGCGAACGGGUGAGUAUCACGUGAGUAACCUGCCCCCUGCUCCUGGAUAACUGCUUGAAAGGGCGGCUAAUACGGGGUGUGCCGGCUGGUCCGCAUGGGCCUGGUCGGGAUAGUUUCAUCUUCGGGUGUUUCGGUGGGGGAUGGGCUCGCGGCCUAUCAGCUUGUUGGUGGGGUGAUGGCCCACCAAGGCGGUGACGGGUAGCCGGCCUGAGAGGGUGGGCGGCCACACUGGGACUGAGACACGGCCCAGACGCCUGCGGGAGGCAGCAGUGGGGGGUAUUGCACAAUGGGCGGAAGCCUGAUGCAGCGACGUCGCGUGAGGGAUGGAGGCCUUCGGGUUGUGAACCUCUUUCUCCGGUGGUGAAGGCCCUGUCCGUUGCGGCGGGGUUGACGGUAGCCGGGGAUGAAGCGCCGGCUAACUACGUG
rnacentral:rRNA from 1 species